UACGUAGGGGGCAAGCGUUAUCCGGAUUUACUGGGUGUAAAGGGAGCGUAGACGGCCAUUCAAGCCAGAUGUGAAAGCCCGGGGCUCAACCCCGGGACUGCAUUUGGAACUGUAUGGCUGGAGUGUCGGAGAGGCAGGCGGAAUUCCUAGUGUAGCGGUGAAAUGCGUAGAUAUUAGGAGGAACACCAGUGGCGAAGGCGGCCUGCUGGACGAUGACUGACGUUGAGGCUCGAAAGCGUGGGGAGCGAACAGG
rnacentral:rRNA from 1 species